rnacentral:rRNA from 1 species
CAGUCGCCGCGGUAAUACGUAGGUGGCAAGCGUUGUCCGGAAUUAUUGGGCGUAAAGGGCUCGCAGGCGGUUUCUUAAGUCUGAUGUGAAAGCCCCCGGCUCAACCGGGGAGGGUCAUUAGAAACUGGGAAACUUGAGUGCAGAAGAGGAGAGUGGAAUUCCACGUGUAGCGGUGAAAUGCGUAGAGAUGUGGAGGAACACCAGUGGCGAAGGCGACUCUCUGGUCUGUAACUGACGCUGAGGAGCGAAAGCGUGGGGAGCGAACAGGAUUAGAUACCCGCGUAGUCCCUGUCUCUUAUAC